rnacentral:rRNA from 1 species
AUUGAACGCUGGCGGCAUGCCUUACACAUGCAAGUCGAACGGCAGCACGGGUGCUUGCCCCUGGUGGCGAGUGGCGAACGGGUGAGUAAUACAUCGGAACAUGUCCUGUAGUGGGGGAUAGCCCGGCGAAAGCCGGAUUAAUACCGCAUACGAUCUACGGAUGAAAGCGGGGGCCCUUCGGGCCUCGCGCUAUAGGGUUGGCCGAUGGCUGAUUAGCUGGUUGGUGGGGUAAAGGCCUACCAAGGCGACGAUCAGCAGCUGGUCUGAGAGGACGACCAGCCACACUGGAACUGAGACACGGCCCAGACUCCUACGGGAGGCAGCAGUGGGGAAUUUUGGACAAUGGGCGAAAGCCUGAUCCAGCAAUGCCGCGUGUGUGAAGAAGGCCUUCGGGUUGUAAAGCACUUUUGUCCGGAAAGAAAUCCUUGGCCCUAAUACGGUCGGGGGAUGACGGUACCGGAAGAAUAAGCACCGGCUAACUACGUG